rnacentral:rRNA from 1 species
UAAUUNUAAACAAGUUUGUACUGUGAAACUGCCAAUGGCUCNUUAAAUCANUUAUAGUUUAUUUGAUGGUACCUUGCUACAUGGAUAACUGNGGUAAUUCUAGAGCUAAUACAUGCAAUCAAGCCCCGACUUCUGGGAGGGGUGUAUUUAUUAGAUAAAAAACCAACGCGGUUCGCCNCUCCAUUNGUGAUUCAUAAUAACUUCUCNAAUCGCUAUGGCCUUGUGCCGGCGAUGCUUCNAUUCAAAUAUCUGCCCUNUCAACUUUCGAUGGUAGGNAUAGAGGCCUACCAUGGUUUCCAACGGGUAACGGGGAAUAAGGGUUNGAUUCCNGAGAGGGAGCCUGAAAAACGGCUACCACAUCCAAGGGAANGCAGCCAGGCGCGCAAAUUACCCAAUCCCNACACGGGGAGGUAGUGGACNAUAAAUAACAAUAUGGGGCUCUUUCGGGUCACAUAAUUGGNAUGAGUACNAUUUAAAUCCCNUUAACGAGGNAACAAUUGGAGGGCCAAGUCUGGGUGCCNNCANCCCNCGUGUUAAUUCCAGGGCGGAAUUUCNUNUUAA